CAAAGUUUAAGUUUUAAUUACUAAUCAUUACUACUCGACACUCAUGAGCACAUAAGUUGUAAACACAUAAGCAAAUAAGUGUUUUAUUACUUCUUUCUUAAAACUCGAUAAGAGUUCAUCAUCACUAUCUUUUUUAAAGUUACUUCCUAAGGCUUUUCCCCCACCUAAGGUUCAUAACCUAAGGCUUUGAUACUAACUUGUGACACCCCCAAACCCAGGUACUUCAUUUCCACAGGAUUUGGUGUUCACUUAAUCAAACAUUCAUAUCUAACUACCAAAUCACAAUAAAACUGGAUAAUUAAACCUUCCCCCUUAAAGGGUUACAUAAAAAAAAUCUCCUAGGUUGUCUAACCUUUAAACACAAUCAUUCAAAUGCGGAAAAUAAAUAAUCUUUAUUACAACCAUUCCAUUAAAAACUGAUAAUAAAAUAUCAUCAAAUUACAAGUCUUCAAAACUUGUUCAUCUUUCCUUUUCCCUUACUGGUGCUAGGUACAUCAACCUUCUCAUCCUUAACUAUAAUAAUUAUAUAAGCAAGAGUGAGCAAACAAAGCUCACUUGAUACAAUAAUCAAUGAAAAACCUUUACAACAAAUGUAAAAUAAGAGACUCAAUAGAUUUAAACAAUUACGAUUUGUCAACAAUCUGAAGUAAAUAACUGAGGGUCCUAAGACCACGAACUAUGUCCAUAGUGAUAAGUAAUGUUUCAACUUAAACUUUAACAGUCAUAAGACUAUAGGGACUCCUCGUACUUAGGGGGAUCAACCCUUUGUACAAUGUAUUGUGCACAAACAUUUCAACGCUAAGCGUAAGUUACCCCCAAUAAUAGGGUUGUUCAUCUCAGUACUUAGAGUACAAGUCCGCACCAAAAUGAGUUUGGUUUGGAUACAUUUUAGGGUAAUUUAGAAUUCAACGAACAUCAACUAAGGAUUAGUUGAAUAAAACCAAUAACAUCGUACUAUAGAAUAAUCGUAAUUGAAUCAACAUGGUAAACCAAAAUCAUGCUUUAGGAAUAAUCUAAUAGCAUAUACUUUGAAUAACUAUAACAUGCCUUGCUUGAACAAUAUUAAGUCAAGGUUAAUUAGAAUUGAGUACUAAGCAUGCAUAGUAGUUUGAACGAUAAAAUUGUUCGACAUUAGUAUAAAUAGUUGUUCAUGCUAAACAACAAGUUAAAUACAAGAAUAACUUGUCAACAUCAAACCAAAGUUUAGAAAGCUUGCAUCAUUUAUAAGGUAAUCGAAUUGAAACAAUAAAUAGUUCAACAAGAUAAAGAAUUAGAAAACUUGCAUUGCUCGUAGGCUAAACCGAAUCAAUUCGGAUCACAAUACCUUAUAUGUACAUAUGUACAUAUAUAUAUAUAUAUGUCAUCAUGACAUAGUUAGUCACUACUACUUUACAAAUUUAACUAACUAUAUACAUAAUAUAGGUUUGAUUAUUUAAUCAUAUAAUCAAGUUAUAACACAAGUUAAUUGUUAAUAACAUACUUAUUCUUAGUAUAGAAAUACUAAUAUCAACAUUUUACAGUCCUACUAUCAUCACAUAACAAUUUCUUAACAUUUGAGUACAAAAAAAAUACACUGUCAGACCAUUCUGCUAACUCGCGCUGCGGCGCCACAGUUUAUACUGUGGUGCGGCGCUGCGGCGCAAGAAUAACGCUACAAGGCCGCGCUGUGGCGCGAAAGAUGAACUGAUGGGCCGCGCUGCGGCGCCAAACUGUAGUUUCGACUGACAGCUUCGGCAACAGUAUAAGAAAAAGCCAAUUUUGGCCUAAAAGUUCCUUUCUAACAGCCUAAUUCACAUGAAAUUCAUACAAAGACUUCAUGUAAACAUAAUUCAAAGAUUGUAAAUAUGUUUCUACUCAUAAAACAAUAUAAACAACAAAUUUAACACAUACAAUUUCACUAUUUUUGAUAAAAACUCACUUUUUGAUGUUUUUGACGAAAAUAAACACUGUGAUUUUGUUUUUCAACCAAAACAGUUAAUUCAAAGCAUUUUAUCAAUGUUUAUACAUACUCUAUCAAACUCAACAGUCAAUUUAUCAAUUAAACAACUAAUUACCCUUAAUUUUUACUUUAAACUAAACAAUAUAUAUAUACACAAACUCUCUGUAAAAAUAGCUUUUCUUCACAACCAUAUACAUAAUACAAAUUCAUGGACUAUUCUCCAUUAUAGCUUAAGAAAAUAGUUUAACAACACUAGAUUAUCAUAUAAAAUCACAUACAUAACAAAUAAUUUAUCCUUACACAAGGAUUUUACAUAGAAUUAGGGAAGAGAAAAAAGUAAACCUUUAAAACUAAAAAGAAUAAGAUAAUACCUUGAAGAAGAUGAUGAUGGCUAUUCCCUUUUUUUUUUUUAUUCUCAAGCUUUUCUUCUCACCAAUUCCCUAGCAUUUCUUCCUCUCUUCUUUUCUCUCUCACUUUUCUUCUCUUCUUCUUCUUCUUCUUCUUCUUCUUCUUCUUCUUCUUCUUCUUCCUCUGAGUUUUCUCUUUUCUUCCUAACUCUAACUACGUACUAACAAUGUAAUGUAUAUAGGAUAUAAUUUAUAUUAAUUAUAUAAUAUAAAUACAGAUAUAACUGAUAUCCGUUAUCUAAGUUUUGAAAACCAAAAGCCAUAAGGCUUGUUUGGCUAGUCACUAAAAAAAUAACCAAUUAAUCCUUAUGCCUUGUUUGGUAAAACACAAUUAGAAUAAAGACUUAAUAGGCAUUAGGCAUUGUUUGGCAAAACUAAAUUAAAACUCCUUUAACUUAUUUUAAUAACUACUUUAUAAAAGGUUAUUUGUCACACUUUUAAUAAAUUAAAUUAAUCUUAAUAACAAUAUAUUAAAUUUCUUUAACACAUAAAUCAAUACCACAAAAUUAUAAUUUUCUAUAUAUUAUAACUUUAUUUAACCAACUAACACAUCCUUUUAAUUACAAAAUUCAAAUAAAAAGAAUAAUAAUUCAAUUAAUCAAAACUCUCUAACUUAAUAAUUAAAUUAAAUUAGCAAAUAUAAUAAUUUUCUUAAUUAUUUAUUUAACAGAUAGUUAACCAAAUUGAAUCAAAUUUGAACAAUUACAAAUUCAACCAUAAACACAUCCAUUAAAUACUUAAAUAAUUCAAUAAAUAUUUAAUAUAACUAUUAAAAUUCUGGAAUGUUACAAUUAUGACCAGGGAUUAUUCGGUAUAAUCAUGACCAUUAAUGAUUACAUAAAUAUCCUUGGCCCGUAAUGCAGGGAUGAUUCGAUGAUGUGGUUUAUUUAUUAAGCUGAGUAUCAGCGAUAAAGUUGAUGAAAAACUUUUUAAAUCAUAGAAGAUAGUAGAUUUUAUGCUCUACUUGACUCUUCUAAUGGAUUGCUUAUUCCGCUGCAGUUGUUGAUCUAAAACUUGUUGUCUAUGGUAUUCUAUCAGUUGUUAUACUGUUGAAGGCUAAGGAUAAUUUAUUCUGCAUUAUCUUAGUCAUAAUAUUUCUUACUGGGCUAGUUGAGCUCACUCUUUUCUUUCAUUGUUCUCUUCANNNNNNNNNNNNNNNNNNNNNNNNNNNNNNNNNNNNNNNNNNNNNNNNNNNNNNNNNNNNNNNNNNNNNNNNNNNNNNNNNNNNNNNNNNNNNNNNNNNNUUUUGUCGUAUUUUACACGACUGUUGUAUAAUUAAGUUGUAUUUGAAUAUAUGUACCAUGUAUCUGGCGACCCAAGAUGGGUGAUGUAUACCUGUUUUGGGGGAGUCACAGCGUCGUCUCAACAUACAUUCUAAACAAUAAUGUCCCACAAGAACUAAGGAGUUGCAAUCCCGAGUGAUUACCACGCAAGGCAGAACACCGGAUAGAAUUUGAAGCUUGAAGACAUAGGACAUGGUUCCAUCUUCCUGACUUCGUACAACCUCUAAACCCAUGUCAUUGCGUAGCUCUCGACAACGGCAGUCCUAAACAUGUCUUAUAUACCUCAAUCGGAUGCUCGGAUUAAAGUUCUGUAAGUUCGAACGGAUAUCAUGUUGCACGCGUGCACGUACUUCGAGACAGUGAGACCCGCAGAGCCCGGGGCACCCCGGGCAGCAGCAGGUGCAUCUGCGGCUGCCGCAGGUACACCUGCGGCUGCCCCCUCUAUAAAUAGAGUGCUUGGGGUGGCCAUAUUUCAAGAAAAGAUGGCGAGGAAGCCCUGUCCAAUUUGCUCUGUAUACACCCUAUAUUGAGUGUUUUCUCAUUUUAAACACUUGUGAGCUCACAUAUAGCUAUUUUUUACCAGCGAGAGCCGAGUGUUCAUCCACUUAAAGCUAUAGAAGUCUUCUUUGGCAGUCCACUAUAAGCCUUCUUACACACUAUAAAGCCUUUCUCUUCAUCUUUGCGCACACUCUUCUUCACGUUGAGAGUCAUGUUAUGUGUGUAUGCCCGGACUUCGGUCUGUGGUUUUCAUUUCUAUUUGUAUAUAUAUACUUAUAUAUGUAUAUAUUUAUACAUAUGUUUGGAGCGUUUACUUGCUUAUAUAUAUAUAUAUAUAUAUAUAUAUAUAUAUAUAUAUAUAUAUAUACAUUUCUGUCAGGCCUGGAGUUUACUUUGUGUCAUUUCACUCCUUUAUUUACAUUUCGUCCUACCCGGAGUUUACUUCGUGGCGGUUGAUCAUUUUUACUAUUUUAUUUACAUUUAGUCCCGCCUGGAGUUUACUUCGUGGCGGUUUAUCGUAUUUAUUGCUUUAUUUACAUUUCUAAUCCCCCAUGGAGGUGCUUCGUAGUGGUUGAUCAUGUCUCUCUAUAUAUAUUUACCGCUUUUAUAUAUUUACAUUUUUGAUCCCCCAUGGAGGUGCUUCGUGGUGGUUGAUCAUGUAUGUAUAUAUAUAUUUACAGCUUUUAUAUAUAUAACUGCUUACUGCUUUCAUAUAAAUUGCGGCAUCAUGUGAGCCUAGGAAUCAUGGAUCACAGAUUAGGUCUACUAAAUCUAGAUUCGGUUCCCGUGAUGGACAUUUUCAGUUGUACGCAGCUUGUAAAUUAUUCAUGAUGUUUGAAUUUCCUUAGAUGGAUUUAAUGCCCAUGAGGAGUUCGGCACUGCUAUAUAUUAUUUUCUCGAAGAUGUUUCGCAUCUCAAAAAUAAAAGCAACCAAGCCGAACAUUUAAUAAUAAAAUAGAAGUAUCAAAGACCUCAAUUACUAUUGAGCACGGGGUUUGAAAAAACCUCUUUUACAAAAUCUCAUUGCUAUAUCUUGUUUAAAACUAAAUUUUUCAUACAAAUUCAAACCCUGUGUAUAUAGGUGCGAAUGAGGCAUAGCACUACUUCAAAAUAAAUUUCACAUUGAUCCACACACACACAUACACAUUAAUAGAAUAGUUUCUUGAAAAGUGGCGGUCACCGUGGUAACACGGAUGUCGGGGGGUGCCUAACACCUUCCCUCCGCAUAAUCAAGCCCCCGAACCCAAAUGAAUCUCGGUUUCACAGACCCGUUUAGCAGUUUCACAUCACUGGGUCAAUGUGCAAACUUUUUCUCGGUUACGUUGGUGCAACCAGUUAAAAACACCAACUGGCAACUCUUACAGUCAAAUCAUCGACAUAUACAUAUCGGACCUUUUUCACUUGUUUUUUCAAACAAAUCUCACCUAACAUGAGAACACCAAAGAACAAGAACAGAAAAGGGACAAAUAAAAAAUCCCGACGUCGACAGCAACUAUGGUUGAAAAGUUUUAUCAUUUACCAUAUGUUCUAAAUCUCUGUUUUAUUACUGACGAAGGCUAUUGAUAAUUUAAUUAUCUUUAGUCAUGAUAUUCUUUAUUGAGCUAGUUGUGCUCACCCUUUUGCUUCACAAUUCCUUUCAGGUAAUAAGAGUGUAGCUAGGUCGAGCGGGGGUAACAGGGGAAUAGAACGGUGGUCUAUAGCUGUUGAGGUUUCCCCUAAAAAGUAUGGAAAUAAUUUUAUUGAGAAUUUUAGAUAAAUGUGUCGUAUUGUAUACGUCAUUUAACCGUUGAUUUUGGUGAACCGAAUAGGGUGAGGUGAACUAACUUUGGAAGGGUGUUUUGUCAAUAUCAUACAAGAUGUCUAAUGACCUACGACUUCAUGUUAUCAUAAGACAGGGUUGUGCACAUCCACUUGCUGAUUAUAUCUAUGAGCACUAGCUAUAUAAUCUUAGAGUUUUGUUGAAAUAUAAUUCUCAACUGGAGAUAAUGGAGAUAAUUAUAUGUCAAGAGAAGACUCACCAUUGGAAAGAACAUGAUAGCAAUCUUCUCAUUUUUCUUUGGGGUCUAUUCGGUCAACUAAGGAUAAUUCUCGAGUCAUAUGAUAUAUAUUAUAACUUAGAUGCAUGGCCUCCCAUGUACGAAGGUUUCCUUGAGCAUUUUCUAGAGAUUUUAAUUUCUAAAACAGUUAUUGACUAUACCUUUAUGUAAGGUAUCAAUGUGAGGUGUUAUCUAAGUAAAGGGAUGAGAGUCACAGUUGGUAUUAAAACUCACAAUAUAUGUAUUGUCGUAUUUUGCACGACAAUUGUAAUAAAAAGUUAUAGUUUUUUUUUGUACCAUGUAUUUGGCAACCCAGAAUGGGUUGGGUGGAUUGGACCUAUUUUAGGGGGCGUCACAAUUUCUUUAUCUCAAAUGAUAUUCUUCAUUGUGGCUAAAAAAAUUCUUACCUUUUGGAAAAAUUAAUCCAUUUUUUCUAAGCAAUGCAUCUUUAAGUACUCUACCAUCUGUAGCCAACCCUUCCCAACCAGGCAACACAUAUAAAAAUUACAUCUUUGGUGAACAAACUCCUAAAACAUUUGUUGUAAUUUCACUUUUUCUGUUUCUGUACCUAGGCUUGUCCUCUAUGGGUAAGUUCAUUCUUAUGUGAGUCCCAUCCAAAGCCCCUAAACAAUUCUAUAAUAACAUAGACAUGGAUUACAAGAUAUACUUAAACAUAGGAGGUUGUGUUAAAAAUGUAUGUGUGUAUGUGUGCAAAUUGUACCUUGAAAUACUUCUACUUUUCAUCAGUUGAGUCAUCAGCAAUUGGUUUGAGAUUCUUAAAAAAUUCUCCUUGCAAUCUUAAAUCUUCAUUAACUACCUUAUGAAAAUGCCUACUUAUCGACUCCCCAGACCUUUCAAAGUUAAAUUUGAUAACACGAUUUUUUGAAUGGUGUCCCAGUAUAUACAAGAAUAUUACAACUUGUUCAAUUACAUCUAUGUAUUUAGUUGAACGUAAGUAACUUUUCGUCUUGAACAUAUGAAACUCAAUUUAGAAAGGUACUCAUAUUCAUCCUAAGUUGUUCAAUACAAUUAUUAUCACCUCCAUUGAUUAACUUAUCAAUGUAACGUGUCCUCCACAACUUAUAAAUAGAAUAUUGUUACUUGAAAGCUUUCCACCUAAUCAAACCCAUAAUUUGAAGAAAAAAAAACAAUUCACCAAUGUAAUCAUAUACAACCACGUUGUAAAUAGUAUAACAAUUCUCUUCUUCAUGAUAUUCUUCCUUGUAGCUAAAUUAAAUCGAGUCAUUAUUGCAUUUAGAGAGUCAAAAUAACUAAUUAUAACAUAAGCCAACUUCCAAACAUUAGUUUAUUAUAAAGUCACAUAAAAAGAAACACAAACAUAAAAGCAUGAGACGACAAGAAAUUCCCUAAAUACACACUUUCCCAGUGUAAAAAGUGUAUAAAUGGCAAGCAUCUAUAUGUUUAGCGUUCCUUUUAUUUCCUCUUAUGUCUGCCUAUUUAAAAAGUGUAUUAAUGUAUCUUUUGCAAGUUAGAAGUUGAAGUUCACCUUGUGUGGAGAGAGUAACAAAUGUACAAAAUCACAACGAACAAUACCCUCUCAAACAAGAAAACUUCAAAAGCAUAAAAUUCAUGUGCGUUAGCAGCUAAUAGAAGUAUAAGUUACUCAUCUAUUGAAACUUAUCUCCUUAAACAAAAUCUUACCUAAUCCUAGUGUUAAACCUAAAAAACAUGAAGCAGUGAGAUCAGUUAUCACAUUGAACUCAUCAUUCCAGUACCCCAAAAAAACUAAUUUCAUUUAUUCAUGGUCCAAAAACCAAUUUCAAGAUAGGAUUAAUCCAUUGAAUAAGUCACAUGGGGCGGUGUUUGUACUAUGCGCAUGAAAGUAGGAAUCAACACCAGUGUUGUCACUUGAAUGACUUUCAAGCCCAAUCCUUAUAUAAUGCAUACGUGCAACAUUACAAGUGGUUCUGGUUCAAUCAUCAAGUGUCACUACUCCAACAACUAAGACUUUCAAGCAAACAAAAAUAAUGAUCCCCAUAUCCCCCAUCCCCAAUCCAAAUUUACACAACUAAUAAAAUUCAGGAGUUUGUUGUACCAAGUAACUUACUACAAGAGCUUAUUUCAUAUUAAUCGAGCUUAUUUCAUAUUAAUUGAGCUUAUAAUCUGUCUAUAUCGUUCAGUACAUGUAAAUCACUAAAAUGUAAAUAGGGGUUUGCUCUAUAAUUCACUAAUUAUUGAAAACUAAAAAGUGAUUGUGAGGCUUUUGUUUGUUCCCUAUUCUAAUCUUCAUAAGGUCAAUACAUCAAACAUAUGGUGCACAUAUAUCCAAAAUCAAAAUUGAUUGAGCACCAAAUUCACUACAUAUAACCAAAAUCAGACUUGAUUAAGCACAAAUGAAUGAACAAAAUGAAGAAUUAAUUACAAAUAAAUAAACUGAUAUUAGAUGUCUUACCGAAUUAAAAGAGAACAGGAGAAGAGUAGAAGAAUAAAAAUUACCCUAAAAAAAGAAAAUCAAUUUGAGAGGAUAGAUGUAGGAGAUAUAGGAGAGAACAGAGAGGACAAAAUAGAGAAAGGAGAGAGAAGAGGGACAUGUACCUGUGAUGGAGGACAUGAGAGUCGAGCGAAGCUAUUCGGCGAUGGGAUCGAUCGAUCGACAUCGAAGAAGAUAAAGUCUAGUGAAAACACGAAUAAAGCUCGAUUGGAAUGAAAUAAACCCACAUAUUUAGAAAGUAAUGAAAAAUAACAUUUCAAAGUGACUAACCAAAUAUGUUUUAAGUCAUUUUAAAAAUAAUGACCAUUCCAUUCUCAGCCCAUUCCAUUCC
rnacentral:lncRNA from 1 species